rnacentral:rRNA from 1 species
UACGGAGGGGGCUAGCGUUGUUCGGAAUUACUGGGCGUAAAGCGCGCGUAGGCGGACCUGCAAGUCGGGGGUGAAAGCCCGAGGCUCAACCUCGGAACUGCCUUCGAUACUGCGGGUCUCGAGUCCGGGAGAGGUGAGUGGAAUUCCUAGUGUAGAGGUGAAAUUCGUAGAUAUUAGGAAGAACACCAGUGGCGAAGGCGGCUCACUGGCCCGGUUCUGACGCUGAGGUGCGAAAGCGUGGGGAGCAAACAGG